GAGUUUGAUCGUGGCUCAGAUUGAACGCUGGCGGCAGGCCUAACACAUGCAAGUCGAGCGGUAGAGAGAAGCUUGCUUCUCUUGAGAGCGGCGGACGGGUGAGUAAUGCCUAGGAAUCUGCCUGGUAGUGGGGGGAUAACGCUCGGAAACGGACGCUAAUACCGCAUACGUCCUACGGGAGAAAGCAGGGGACCUUCGGGCCUUGCGCUAUCAGAUGAGCCUAGGUCGGAUUAGCUAGUUGGUGAGGUAAUGGCUCACCAAGGCGACGAUCCGUAACUGGUCUGAGAGGAUGAUCAGUCACACUGGAACUGAGACACGGUCCAGACUCCUACGGGAGGCAGCAGUGGGGAAUAUUGGACAAUGGGCGAAAGCCUGAUCCAGCCAUGCCGCGUGUGUGGAGAAGGUCUUCGGAUUGUAAAGCACUUUAAGUUGGGAGGAAGGGCAGUAAAUUAAUACUUUGCUGUUUUGACGUUACCGACUAGAAUAAGCACCGGCUAACUCUGUGCCAGCCGCCG
rnacentral:rRNA from 1 species